rnacentral:rRNA from 1 species
ACUCCUACGGGAGGCAGCAGUGGGGAAUCUUGCGCAAUGCGCGAAAGCGUGACGCAGCAACGCCGCGUGGGGGAAGACGGCCUUCGGGUUGUAAACCCCUUUCAGUUGGGACGAAGCUCGGUCGGUGAACAGCCGCGCCGGGUGACGGUACCUUCAGAAGAAGCCCCGGCCAACUACGUGCCAGCAGCCGCGGUAAUACGUAGGGGGCAAGCGUUGUCCGGAAUCAUUGGGCGUAAAGAGCGUGUAGGCGGCUCGGUAAGUCCGUUCUGAAAGCCCGGGGCUCAACCCCGGGAGGCGUGCGGAUACUGCUGAGCUCGA